GUCCACGGCCAUGCCACUCUGAACACGCCCGACCUCAUCUGACCUCGUAAGCUAAGCAGGGUCGGGCCUGGUUAGUACUGGGAUGGGAGAAUGGAGGACAAUAAGAACA
rnacentral:rRNA from 1 species